rnacentral:rRNA from 1 species
UACGUAGGGUGCGAGCGUUAAUCGGAAUUACUGGGCGUAAAGCGUGCGCAGGCGGUGCGCCAAGCUCGAUGUGAAAGCCCCGGGCUUAACCUGGGAAUUGCAUUGAGGACUGGCGUGCUCGAGUGCGGCAGAGGGGGGUGGAAUUCCACGUGUAGCAGUGAAAUGCGUAGAGAUGUGGAGGAACACCGAUUGCGAAGGCAGCCCCCUGGGCCGACACUGACGCUCAUGCACGAAAGCGUGGGGAGCAAACAGGAUUAGAUACCCUGGUAGUCCACGCCCUAAACGAUGUCGACUGGUUGUUGGGGGAGGCAACUUCCUUAGUAACGAAGCUAACGCGUGAAGUCGACCGCCUGGGGAGUACGGCCGCAAGGUUAAA